CGGAGGAGGAAAAGAAACCCCAAACGAUCAGCAUCAAAACCUUCAAACGACGGAAAAAUAACGAAAAAGCAAAAUUUCGUUCUCCAUCCCCCAAAAAAAACCACCGCGGGGCUCUUCAGGAUCCGCCCGGAGCACUCAGCAUUGUCCUCUGUACCCCAUCCACUCCAAUGGACGCCGAGCACAGAGUUGGAGAUGGACCUGGAACAUCUGCGCUGUCAUUGGUAGAGCAAAGGGGACAAGGACCGUGGGAGAUGUACCCUAAAAACAGCCCAGUUUUAGGAUUGCCAACCAGCACCAUCCCUAAACGCGUCCUACAAAGUUCUAUUCACCAUUCAUGGGUGAGAAGAGUUCUCCUGGUUCUACACAUUUCUUGGCUUGGUGAGACUCAUGCCAGCAUGUCUUCCUGCUUGGACAACAGGCAGAGCCAUGGCCUAUUUUUCUUACUUAUAUCCAGGCUGGGGUGAGGCCUGGUGCCCGGAUGCCAUCGAGGAGUUGGGGUUGGUCUUCUGCAGAAGGAUUUUCUGCCCACUGAGAUGUCCUACGUGGGGAAAGGACAGCCCGUUGGCCUUGGCUGUGUCUUCUUGUGGGCACAGAUCCCAGUCUGGGAUACCAGCAAUGAUCCAAAGGGUUUUAUCUGCAUGAUGGAAGCCUCAACACUCACCUGCAGCAGUGGGGGUGGAACAGGACUAUGAACACCUCUGUCACUGAGAGUCAGUGGGUAAUGCGUGUCCCACGCUUCAUCUCAAGGCUGGAACCUAUGGGAGAAGAGACCUCCAGCCCCUCAUGGGCCAACAACGAGCUCCAUGUUGGAGGUGCUGACCCAAGAGAUGGGGCUUUCCUCCUUUUGCUCAGAGAUGAGGAGUUUUGAUGCCGUUCCCCACUCCGAGAGCUCACGGUGAGCACCAAGCCCCACAUCUGAGCACUUGGCUGACGUCUGUCUUUGGGAAGAAAAGGACGGGCAUCGUUUGGUGCCCACAUUUUUGCUGUGCUGGAUGUACAUGUGGUCAUUUUGGGUGGGACGCAUCAGGUAGGUUUGAAUUUAAAUAAACCUAUGGACUAAACUGUGACUGAAAUCACACCAUCUCUGGGCUUUAGAUCUAAGACUGUCUUUCUAUCCCAACCUCUACUCAGACAAUCUGCUGUUUCCUGCAGAUUUGUUCCUAGAAGUCCGUUUUUGCAGCCAACGUUACUUCCCCUUUUCUAUUUUAAGCUUCCUCCUCCUUCCUGUGCACCACACAAAACACAUCGUGGGCCUCAAACCCUCCUUCCCUCUCUUCCCUCCUCUUUCCCAUGCACCAAAACUGAAAUGAUUUCAGAAAACGAUCCCCAAAUCACACGUGUCAACUCUAGAAUCCCCCCAGAUCCUUUCUCCCACCCAUUUUGGUCUACCAGGAGGAUGAAGAGGAUGGGUGGAAGAGUCAGGAGUACCAAAGGAAGGCAGCGCUGAAGAGAGGAAGGCAGAAAUUAAUUAAUAUCACACGGCUUUGUCUGAACUGAAUUGAAAUUCUACACAUUCCUGUUUGGCUUUUAACCCUUCAUCUCUCCCGAAAUCUCUUCCUUCUCAUUCACUAUCGUGCAGAAAUUGGGAACGAAGGAGGGAAUCCUCAGAAGUGACAGUGAGUCGGAGGACAGAAAACAAGAGUCAGUGAGAGAGAUAGGAAUCAGACUGAUCACCGCUCUGAUUCCAAGGUCUGUUUUGAGGAGUGAAAGGGUCGGCCCACAGCGCUGGAGAAGGGAUGCGGGCGUGAGACUCACCUGGAGGUGGCAGUAUUGGAUCAGCAAAGAGCAACGAUGGCCGCCAUGAAGAUGAUGAAGAUGACCCGCAAGAUCCCCUUCAGACAUCCCUUUGUGCCUGCUGGGUGUGCGGUUCACCUCCCCAAGGUCACAAACAAGUGAGUGCACAACAACAGCUUGGCCAGAAACGAGUCUGUAGCCACAACUUUCUCAUGGGAAUGGGUAGGGCGGAUGGUCAACGAAGCACUGCCAGUGUUUGGCCACACCAAGCACAGCACAGAAAGACAGGAAUGUGUCUUCUGUUGGUCCUUCCCAGCAUCCCUUCCUUCCGUCGUAUCCACUGCAGCACUCGGCUCGGUGCCAUCAGCAAAGUGCUGAGGGUGCACUCCAUCCCAUCAUCUGUGUCAGUGAGAGGUGGUGAAGAGCAGCGCUCCCAGGAGGGACCUCUGGGGGUCACCACCCAUCACCACCUCCACCUGGACAUGGAGCUGUUGGCCACAGCCCUCUGGCUGCGACUUUCCAACCUAGAAAGUGCUGGAAGUGCUUUGUGGACCGUGUGUGAGCUGACAGGUGACAGCCGGAGUGGGGCAGUGUAAAAAAGAUGUGCAUACGGUUAUGUGUGUGCCACCCCAUCCUGGGCCCCACAGCCCCAACGCCUUGGGGACAGCAGUUGUCACAUGGGGAGGUGACAUCAUGGAACUCUAUCCCAAAAUGAGAACUGGCAGCAGCUCUCCGGCCACUUCCUUUCCCCGCUGCAGUCUCGCUGUCCCCAAGCUGCUCCUGUUUCAUGACACGAAGGGAGGUGGCCCUCAUUCUGGGUGAGUGACAAAGGGGACGUGGUGCCACGGGGGUUGGUGGCCCUGUGUGGGACCUGGACCGUGUCCCUUGGAGGCUGGUGGCUGCUGGCAGCGAGCAGGGCACAGCAACCCAGGGGGUGUCCCUGAGGGAUAAUGUCACCCUGCGCUGCCACCUGCCCCGGUUAACCUUACAAGCUGAGCUCUGCCAGAACGGCCAUUUGAGAUCCAAGAAAGACAUGGACAGACUUCAGGACACGGUUGAGUUUUCCUUGGUUAGCGUAGAGAAGGAAGAGGCAGAGGAGUAUCGGUGGCAGUACCGGGUUUUGGAGCCACCGGGGACAUCAGGGAAGAGCGACCCCGUGGAGCCGGUGGUGACAGGUGAGGGCACUGCGGAAAAUGGGGGUCCCUGUGCUGCCCCCCCAGCUGCCUGACCUCAUGUUUGCUCACUAGGAGUGUGCAAGACCACACGUGCACAAAGACGUGUGUGUUCUGUCCACACAAGCUCUUCAAGUGUGCACGGUGCGCUGUGUGCUCAACAUCGCCUGUGCAAUCCACGCAUGUACCACUGCAUGUGGUGGUGUGAAUUACACCAGUGUGUGUUAUCCCGUGCGCAACAAAUGCACGUAUGUAGAAGAAUACAAUAGAACUGCAGAAUCUUCAGAGUUAGAAGCAACUCUUACAGAUCACCAAACCAACUCCCUGCAGUGCAGAGGGACACCAACAGCUCCAUCCGCUGCUCAGUGCCCCAUCCAUCCUGACUUGGAAUGUCUCCAUGGACGCUGUGCCACCACCUCUCGGCGCCACCUGUGCCAGUGACUCACAGCCAUUAGUUUAAAACACAUUCCCAGCCGAUUACACCUAAAUCUUUGCUUCUUCGCUUUGAUGCAAUUUCCCACUGAAGCCCCUGCAAAGGAAUCGCUCCACGUCUUUCUUACUGUGCCUUUAGAGACCGACGGGAUGUUUGGCAUCGCAUGGGGGACGCCGUGCUAAGCCACUCACCGGCAGCCGUUCUGGGACAGAAUUCUCGCUGUCCCCAGGCUGCUCCUGCCUCAUGACACCAAUGGCCGUGGCCCUCAUCCUUGGUGAGUGACAAUGGGGAUGUGGUGCCACUGGGGUUGGUGGCCCUGUGUGGGACCAGGACCGUGUCCCUUGCAGGUUGGUGGCUGGUGACUGUGAGCUGGGCACAGCAAUGUGAGUACGGGGACAGGGGGAGAAUGGGGAUGGAAAGAGG